GAUGAACGCUGGCGGCGUGCCUAAUACAUGCAAGUCGAGCGAACGGACGAGAAGCUUGCUUCUCUGAUGUUAGCGGCGGACGGGUGAGUAACACGUGGAUAACCUACCUAUAAGACUGGGAUAACUUCGGGAAACCGGAGCUAAUACCGUAUAAUAUUAUGAACCGCAUGGUUCAAAAGUGAAAGACGGUCUUGCUGUCACUUAUCGAUGGAUCCGCGCUGCAUUAGCUAGUUGGUAAGGUAACGGCUUACCAAGGCAACGAUGCAUAGCCGACCUGAGAGGGUGAUCGGCCACACUGGAACUGAGACACGGUCCAGACUCCUACGGGAGGCAGCAGUAGGGAAUCUUCCGCAAUGGGCGAAAGCCUGACGGAGCAACGCCGCGUGAGUGAUGAAGGUCUUCGGAUCGUAAAACUCUGUUAUUAGGGAAGAACAUAUGUGUAAGUAACUGUGCACAGCGUGACGGUACCUAAUCAGAAAGCCACGGCUAACUACGUG
rnacentral:rRNA from 1 species